ACCCAUGUAGGACAAAGUAUUUUG
rnacentral:piRNA from 1 species